CAUAGAUAAAAAUCUCUGUACUCAUGAAGCAAAUGGAAAAUGUGAAAGUGUAAACAUAGUACCUAAAUUAGGGUAAGACAGAAACGGCUGGAGUUGCAGAGGGCAGAUUGCAAUAUUUUGGGUAUAGGCCUGGUUGAGAAAGUGACAUUGAAUUGAAGUCAUGAAAUAAGUUGAAGGAUUGCGUCAUGAAGAUAUUUAGAGUAAAUUCAUCAUAUUCAGUAUUUACCAAGGUGGGAAUUUGCCUGGCAAGAGGCCAGUAUGGCAGGAAAUGAGUGACAGACCAGGAGAGUAGUUGAAGAUGGAGUCAAAGAGGUAACAGCGAGGAGUAGGUUCUUUAUUUAUUUUUGCUGUGUGUGUCUGUUGCCAGGUAUCACACCCAGGAAUUUGUGCAUGCUUACCAAUGCUUAACACUGAACUAUAUCCCCAGGCUCAGAGACAGGAUAUUUAGAGCCUGUAGCUCUAAAAUCUUUUUAAAACUUUGGAUUAUACUCUGAGUAAUAUGAGAAACUACUGGAAGGUAUUGAGCCAAAGUGAACAGUAGCAAAACCUGGCUUAAGUUGUAGCAGGAUCAGUUUGGCAGUUGCUGUGUUUAAAAUACAUUGUGAUAGAGAAGUGUAUAGCAAAAGAAAAGACUAGACAUUUAGGAAAUUAUUAAAGUAAUCCAGGUAAGACAGUGGUGGCCUGAGUGGAGGAGUAGAAGUGGUGAGAAAUAGUCAGCUUUUGAUAUAUUUUAAAGGUAGAAUCAACACCAUCUUCUGAAAGAUUUCAUGAGACGUGAGAAAAAGAGAGAGCCAGAAUAGUCCAAUGUAUUUGCUUAUUUGAGUUGAGCAACUAGAACAAUGGAGUUGCCAUUCAAUGAGGUAAGGAAGACUAUGAGCAAGUGGGCUUUGGCUAUUGGGAAGAUCAGUUGUUUUGGUUUGGACAUAUUGAGUUUGGGGUGCUGUUAGGUGUCCAUGUAGAUAUUUUAUGGGGGCAGUGGGCUUGGCAUUUAGGAAGGAAAUCUGGAUGGAGUUACAUAUUUGUGAGUCACUGGCAGGAGAUGGGAUGUAGUCAAGAGAGGAAAGAGAAGGUCAAAAACUGAUCCCUUGGACCUGCCAAUAUUACAGUGUCCAGGAGAAGAGAGAGAACCAAAAAAGGACACUGAGAUGUAAGCCAGGAAAGAGUUUUGGAAGGCAGGUAAAGAGGAAGUGGUCCACAGUAUUAGCAGAGCUGGUGACCCCUGAAUAAAUGCUACAUAUAAGUUAAAUAAAAGAGAGUCAUAAGUAACUGUUGGUUCUAAAUGGAGGACCUUGGUGGUCAUUUUUAUUAAAAAGUAAAAGCAAAUGCUUAAUUGGAGCAGAUUUGGGUGAAUAGGAGAAGAGAGAAGACAAUGUGUAUAGACAACUGUUUUUGAGUUUUUCUGUGUGAAGGACAACAGAGAAUCAAAGCCAAUUAUGUUAUUUCCUUUUUAAAUUUUAAUUAGUUUUUUCUUGAUUUAAAAUGGGAGAAGUAGGGUAUGUUUGAUACUGAUGAGAAUAAUCCAGUAAGUGAUAAACCUUGGUGAUACAGAAGAGAGGGGAAUUGCUGAAUAAUAUCCUGGAGUUGAAGAUGGUUGGGUUUUAGUUUCAAAGAGGAGGAAUAAGCACAGAUGAUUCGUGUACCAUAGAAACCGGUGGGAUACUGAGUAAUAUGAUGCUGAUGUUGGAAGAUGAAUAGACAGCAUGAUGAAAGAUCUGUGGAAUUC
rnacentral:lncRNA from 1 species